rnacentral:rRNA from 1 species
UCGCCUGUUUAUCAAAAACAUAGCCUAAAGCAAUUAUUUUAGGUGAAAUCUGCUCAGUGUAUCUAAAAUCUUAAUAAAUAGCCGCGGUACUUUGACCGUGCUAAGGUAGCAUAAUAAGUUGGCUUUUAAAUGGAGUCGGGAAUGAAUGAAACAACGUAGCUAAGCUGUCUCAGAAUUAUUUUAUCGAAUUUACUGUAUAGAUGAAAAAGUCUAUAAAUCCAAAAAAGACGAGAAGACCCUUAGAAUUUAAAUAAAACCGAAUAGUUUUUCGUAAUAUUUUUGUUGGGGCGACAAGAAGACAAUUAACUUUAACUCUUCUGAUAAUAUAAGACGAUUAGUAAUAAGGUCGGAUAAAUUACCUGAGGGAUAACAGCAUAAUUUUAUGAUUAAGUUUGUGACCUCGAUGUUGGACUAGGAAAUUAAUAGACUAGCCGUUUAUUAUAUUGGUUCUGUUCGAACUGUUUUUCCUACAUGAUCUGAG